rnacentral:rRNA from 1 species
GCAUGCAAGUCGAGCGAGAAGUCUAAGAUUGAAACUUCGGUCGAUUUCUUAGAUGGAAAGCGGCGCAAGGGAGAGUAACGCGUAGUUAUCUACCCCGAGGCCCGGAAUAGCUGCGGGAAACUGCAGGUAAUACCGGAUGAUAUCUGCUUCUGUGAUGGAAGCAGAUCAAAGGUGUGAUUCCGCCUUGGGAGGAGACUGCGUUGUAUUAGCUUGUUGGUGGGGUAAUGGCCUACCAAGGCGAUGAUGCAUAGCGGGCGUGAGAGCGUGGCCCGUCCCACUGGGACUGAGACACUGCCCAGACACCUACGGGUGGCUGCAGUCGAGAAUCUUCGGCAAUGGGCGAAAGCCUGACCGAGCGAUGCCGCGUGCGGGAUGAAGGCCUUCGGGUUGUAAACCGCUGUCAGUUGGGAGGAAGGCUCCGUGAAGAGCGGAGCUUGACCUAUCUUCAGAGGAAGUCCGGGCUAAGUUCGUGCCAGCAGCCGCGGUAAUACGAACCGGACAAACGUUAUUCGGAAUUAUUGGGCUUAAAGGGUGCGUAGGCGGCGCGGUAAGUGAGGUGUGAAAGCCCACGACUCAAUCGUGGAAUUGCGCUUCAUACUGCCGUGCUAGAGGGAGACAGA